AGUGGGAUAGCUCAGUCGGUAAGAGCAUGAGACUCUUAAUCUCAGGAUUGUGGGUUCAAGCCCCAGGCUGGUUG
rnacentral:tRNA from 1 species